AGAGUUUGAUCCUGGCUCAGGACGAACGCUGGCGGCGUGCCUAACACAUGCAAGUCGAGCGGAGACAGUGAGUAGCUUGCUAUGAGCUGUUUUAGCGGCGGACGGGUGAGUAACGCGUGAGCAACCUUUCCCAGACAGGGGAAUAACACACCGAAAGGUGUACUAAUACCGCAUAAGACCACGGGAUCACAUGGUUCUGGGGUAAAAGAUUUAUCGGUUUGGGGUGGGCUCGCGUCCGAUUAGGUAGUUGGUGAGGUAACGGCCCACCAAGCCGACGAUCGGUAGCCGACCUGAGAGGGUGAUCGGCCACAUUGGGACUGAGACACGGCCCAAACUCCUACGGGAGGCAGCAGUGGGGAAUAUUGCACAAUGGGGGAAACCCUGAUGCAGCGACGCCGCGUGAGCGAAGAAGUAUUUCGGUAUGUAAAGCUCUAUCAGCAGGGAAGAAAAUGACGGUACCUGACUAAGAAGCCCCGGCUAACUACGUGCCAGCAGCCGCGGUAAUACGUAGGGGGCAAGCGUUGUCCGGAAUAAUUGGGCGUAAAGGGCGCGUAGGCGGCUCGGUAAGUCUGGAGUGAAAGUCCUGCUUUUAAGGUGGGAAUUGCUUUGGAUACUGUCGGGCUUGAGUGCAGGAGAGGUUAGUGGAAUUCCCAGUGUAGCGGUGAAAUGCGUAGAGAUUGGGAGGAACACCAGUGGCGAAGGCGACUAACUGGACUGUAACUGACGCUGAGGCGCGAAAGUGUGGGGAGCAAACAGGAUUAGAUACCCUGGUAGUCCACACU
rnacentral:rRNA from 1 species